ACCUUCGGGCCUCUUGCCAUCAGAUGUGCCCAGAUGGGAUUAGCUAGUAGGUGGGGUAACGGCUCACCUAGGCGACGAUCCCUAGCUGGUCUGAGAGGAUGACCAGCCACACUGGAACUGAGACACGGUCCAGACUCCUACGGGAGGCAGCAGUGGGGAAUAUUGCACAAUGGGCGCAAGCCUGAUGCAGCCAUGCCGCGUGUAUGAAGAAGGCCUUCGGGUUGUAAAGUACUUUCAGCGGGGAGG
rnacentral:rRNA from 1 species